GACUCAGCUGUUCAGGUGUCUCAGUGAUGUCAGCAGUGAGACUCCCGCCCACUCUGCUGAGAACGACUUUGUUACAGGUGAGUUUUCACUUUGAAGACGAUGUCGCAUGAAACGUGUGGAAUAUCAAUGACGACUGUUUUUAGCUUAAAAGAGCUGAAGAGUCAGCAUGAAUUCUGCUCCCAGCACAGUGAUGUCACAGACACACAGCUCAGGCAGAGUUGGUGACACUUUGAGGAGCAGCUGAAGGUCCGGGUGAGCUGAAGAGAGCGAUGCUGGGCUGACCCGAGUUAAAAGAGAUCCAGUGCAAAACAGUGGAAAGAGGGCAGGCAGGUGCCAUACUGAAAUCCUUCCCAGGAGUCAGAGUGUGACACAGGUGCUGUGACCAGAGAGCUGUAGCACAAGAAAAGCAAGUCAGUGAGUUCUGCAGCUGAAUGACAGCAUGGCAGCAGCAUCUGGACCACAAGACACUUUUCCCAGACGUCGCAGGAAGAGCUUUGAUUUUGUGCCACCCCACAUGUCUGAGCUCAGAGCUGUCCUGCUGGGGAACAGCUGGUCUGAGAGGAGCUCAGUGGGAAACUUUAUACUGAGAGAGAACAAGUUCAACCCUGAGGAAGAACUGGACCGAUGUGUGAG